GACGAACGCUGGCGGCGUGCCUAAUACAUGCAAGUCGAGCGCAGGAAAUCGACGGAACCCUUCGGGGGGAAGGCGACGGAAUGAGCGGCGGACGGUGAGUAACACGUAAAGAACCUGCCCUCAGGUCUGGGAUAACCACGAGAAGUCGGGGCUAAUACCGGAUGGGUCAUCGGACCGCCUGGUCCGAGGAGGAAAGGCGCUUCGGCGUCGCCUGGGGAUGGCUUUGCGGGGCAUUAGCUAGUUGGUGGGGUAAUGGCCCACCAAGGCGACGAUGCAUAGCCGACCUGAGAGGGUGAUCGGCCACACUGGGACUGAGACACGGCCCAGACUCCUACGGGAGGCAGCAGUAGGGAAUCUUCCACAAUGGACGAAAGUCUGAUGGAGCAACGCCGCGUGAACGAUGAAGGCCUUCGGGUCGUAAAGUUCUGUUGUAAGGGAAGAACAAGUGCCGCAGGCAAUGGCGGCACCUUGACGGUACCUUGCGAGAAAGCCACGGCUAACUACGUGCCAGCAGCCGCGGUAA
rnacentral:rRNA from 1 species